rnacentral:rRNA from 1 species
AACCCAACUGAAUGGAGCCCUACGGGGGGCUGCAGUGGGGAAUAUUGGACAAUGGACCAAAAGUCUGAUCCAGCAAUUCUGUGUGCACGAUGAAGUUUUUCGGAAUGUAAAGUGCUUUCAGUUGGGAAGAAGAAAGUGACGGUACCAACAGAAGAAGCGACGGCUAAAUACGUGCCAGCAGCCGCGGUAAUACGUAUGUCGCAAGCGUUAUCCGGAUUUAUUGGGCGUAAAGCGCGUCUAGGCGGUUUGGUAAGUCUGAUGUGAAAAUGCGGGGCUCAACUCCGUAUUGCGUUGGAAACUG